GGACUAAGAGAGACAUUUUGACCACUUAUUAUCAUCAUUAAUGAAUGAAUAUUCAUUCAUUUCAAACAUAAUUUACAGCAAGAAGAAGAUGAAAUCCGUAACCCCUUUUCUCCCAAAUCCUCCCAACUUCAAAUCUUCAUAACUUCUUCGUUUCUCAACGAAAUUUAGCGAUUCUUGCGGCCACGGAACGAGGAAAGGAUUAUCUAAAGAUCCAUGGCUUCAAUUUGAGGUAAUAAACUCAAAUUACAGUUUGGGUUUCAGGUUUAAUAUUUCGGUUUUGUUAGUUUUAAUGGUGAUUGUUGUGUUUGGUUGUUAUAUCUUGUGUAUGAGCUUGGAUUAAGAGAAUUCAUGAAGGUUUUUGAUGGCUAAGGUUCGGCCAAGAAGACAUCAUUAAGACUCGAAGAAGCGACUAUCGAUAAGGCUCGAGGCGAACGGAUCGAGAUGUCUUCGUAUUUAUUUGAAGAAUUUGGAUAGCAAGUGGGAUAGUAUGAUAUGAUUUGAAGAGUAAAGCUUCCGAAGUUUUAAUUCUCGGAAGUUAUUUGCACAAGAAGUAAAAGAAGGUUUUCAUUCUAGCGGUCCGCAGUAGUCCAGAUGUUUUUGUCUAUGUAUUUGUAUAACGCAAUUUCACUCUGAUGUUUUUGUAAAAUGGGGUCACAUUUAUUUUGAUAUAUGAAAUAUGAGUUGUUUUGCGAAAAAUUUA